CGUAGGGGGCAAGCGUUGCCGGAUUUAGUUGGGCGUAAAGAGCGUGUAGGCGGCCGCACAGGUCCGUUGUGAAAACUGGAGGCUUAACCUUCAGACGUCGAUGGAAACCGUGCGGCUAGAGUCCGGAAGAGGAGAAUGGAAUUCCUGGUGUAGCGGUGAAAUGCGCAGAUAUCAGGAAGAACACCCGUGGCUAAGGCGGUUCUCUAGUACGGUACUGACGCUGAGACGCGAAAGCGUGGGGAGCGAACAGGAUUAGAUACCCUGGUAGUCCACGCCGUAAACGAUGGGUGCUAGGUGUGGGGGGUGUCGACUCCCCCCCGUGCCGAAGCUAACGCAUUAAGCACCCCGCCUGGGGAGUACGGCCGCAAGGCUA
rnacentral:rRNA from 1 species